rnacentral:lncRNA from 1 species
AAGGAGAAGAAAUAAUCAGAUUAGUAUCAACCUUAACUUGGCCUGUCAUGGGCCUAAGGCUGAUCUCUCCCUCUUUUACCCCAGAGGUGGAGGGUUGACAUGUUGGUUCAGGGAGUGACCCCUUAACAACAUCUUUUCCUCGAGCGUCCGGCUGUGAAGCCAUUCUCUCAGGACUUGGGCUAGGGGUACUUGAAUCCCCUGCUACAGGUAAUCCGCCCUGUACGGAAAGCAUUGCUUUUGCCCGAUUUUCACGGACAGCGCGCAAGAGCGGCUUUUCAGUUGCUUCCUGAAGAUUGAACAUCUUCAUGAAACAGACAUCGAUUUGGCUAGAUACUUUGGCUUCAUCAGCCGCUUGUAUCUUUCCUGCUUGUUUAGUAUGCAGC